rnacentral:misc_RNA from 1 species
GGGUCACAGUGGGUGUGGUAGCGGUCGCUCAGGUCAUCGAAGGUGACGGUCCUUGAUCCACCGAUGCAUUCAGUCACGUUCUGCCCAGUCAUUUCCAGGUGGAUACCUCCUGGGUGGCUACCUUCUUGAUCAUGGACAUCGAAGAACGCACGUACUUCAGCCAGAAUGGAAUCGAAUGGACGAGUCUUCAGACCACAUGGAGC